UACGGAGGAUCCGAGCGUUAUCCGGAUUUAUUGGGCUUAAAGGGCGCGUAGGCGGCUUAUUAAGUCAGGGGUGAAAUUCCACAGCUCAACUGUGGAACUGCCAUUGAUACUGGUUGGCUUGAGUACAGAUGAGGUAGGCGGAAUUGACAGUGUAGCGGUGAAAUGCUUAGAUAUUGUCAAGAACACCGAUUGCGAAGGCAGCUUACUGAGCUGUAACUGACGCUGAGGCACGAAAGCGUGGGGAGCAAACAGG
rnacentral:rRNA from 1 species